AGUAGAGUUUAGUGUUUAGGGUUUAUAUUUGGGUUUACGGUUUAGUAAUUUCCUUCUCAAACUAGAGUUUAAAGUUUAGGGUUUAUAUGUCAUGUCUUCAAAUUUGAUAUUUCUCUUCUAUGCCCUUUGUAUGAUUGCUCGUAAUAUAAAAUUAGUUUCAUUUAAAUGUUUGACAAUGUUAGGGUCAUGUUUAGUUCAAGAACGUCUUUUUCAUCAACAAGUACUUUUAUUUUUUCUCGUACUAUUUUACAUAUGAUGCUCAACUAAUAUAAAUAGAAUAAAUAUUUGUAUACUAUUUUACACAAUGUCUAUACUAUGUAUGUAUAGUACUUGAAAAUAUUAGGGGUUGGGUUUAGAGUUUGGGUUUAUGAUUUAGUGGCUAGGGUUUAGGAUGUGGGUUUAGGAUUUGGUGGCUAGAUUUGGAUUUGGGUUUAGGAUUUAGUGGCUAGGGUUUAGAGUUUAGUAAUUAGGGGUUGGGUUUAGAGUUUAGUAUGAUAUUUUCCAUCUUCAUAUAAUAUAGUUAAAUAUCACAAAAUAUUAUAUAUCUUUUUCAGAUUUUAAUUUUAUUUUAAAAUUAUAAAUAUAUAAUAUGUAUGAUUGCUCGUAAUAUAAAAUUAGUUUCAUUUAAAUGUUUGACAAUGUUAGGGUCAUGUUUAGUUCAAGAACGUCUUUUUCAUCAACAAGUACUUUUAUUUUUUCUCGUACUAUUUUACAUAUGAUGCUCAACUAAUAUAAAUAGAAUAAAUAUUUGUAUACUAUUUUACACAAUGUCUAUACUAUGUAUGUAUAGUACUUGAAAAUAUUAGGGGUUGGGUUUAAGUUUAUUGAUUAGGGUUUAAGGUUUAGUGUUCAGAGAUUAGUUUCAGAUUGAGAUAAGUUUUAGUAUCUAGAUUUAAUGAUUUAGUGGCUAGGGUUUAGGAUGUGGGUUUAGGAUUUGGUGGCUAGAUUUGGAUUUGGGUUUAGGAUUUAGUGGCUAGGGUUUAGAGUUUAGUAAUUAGGGGUUGGGUUUAGAGUUUAGUAUGAUAUUUUCCAUCUUCAUAUAAUAUAGUUAAAUAUCACAAAAUAUUAUAUAUCUUUUUCAGAUUUUAAUUUUAUUUUAAAAUUAUAAAUAUAUAAUAUAGUUUACAUUUGAGUUUGGGUUUAGUGAUCCAUUUAGGGUUUAGUAUUUAAAAGUUGGAGUUAGAUUUAGGUUUAUAUUUGAGUUUAUGGUUUAUAUUUGGAUUUAGGGUUUAGUGAUUAGGGUUUAAGGUUUAGUGUUCAGAGAUUAGUUUCAGAUUGAGAUAAGUUUUAGUAUCUAGAUUUAAAGGUUGAUGUAUAAUUAAUAUUUUAUAUUAUUUUGGUAAUAUGAAGUAUAAUUAAUGAAAUGUUUGUGGUUAUUAUGUAUGUGAUGUGGUUGUAUUAUCUUUCUUUUGUUGGUGACAGUUUCCAUUAAUUAUUGGCCACACUUGAAUUUUGUCAACGUCAUCUCUACAUCUUUAAGCCACCAGCAACUUGUAUGAAUCAAGGCUAAAACCGGUGGAA
rnacentral:lncRNA from 1 species